rnacentral:tRNA from 1 species
GCCCAUAUAGCUCAGUGGUAGAGCACUCCCUUGGUAAGGGAGAGGUCCCCAGUUCAAGUCUGGGUAUGGGCUCCA